GGACAAAGGAAAGUCACCAAGUUCAGGAAUGGCAUAGCCCAGCCUUGCUGUAAGAGGGUGACUUCUGAGCCUGACCAUAAGCUGACACUGGUGACCAGGGCCAUCUGGGGCAGAGCUGUGAAUCCAAGGAAGCAGCUGAAUAAGCCAGCAGGCAGCCUGCCAUGGGGCCCUGCUCCAAGAACCAGUCCUUCUGCUGGAUGACUGGGCUCCUGGUAUUCAUUAACCUCCUCCUCGAGCCUGUGCCUCACCCUGAGAUCCUGGCAAAGUCACUGUCUAUCACACGAGACCUGUGUAACAUCACCCUGGAGUGUAGGGCUCCAGGGACCACAGA
rnacentral:lncRNA from 1 species